AGNAGUUCUGUGUUGAACUCGUUAACAUAACAUCUAAGUUCUAAAUUUCAGUUGAUUGUACAGUCUUUCCAGUGUAUUUUUGCAAAACUUGCAAAAGUGAUUUAGGAGAGAAUUAUCGCAGGAAUUGUUGACAAGUGGCACAAAAAUAUGGAUGUCUGCAAAAACCUUAUUUUUUGUUUUGUUUUGUGAAAUGCACUUUGAAAUAUUAUGUGCAUGAGACAUAAUUUGCAUAUAUUAACUGCCAAACAAUAUAAAUUUGUCUCUGUUUUGAUCCAACAGUUAAUGGCUGUUGUUCACUUAUCUCAUUUGUGAUGUCAUUGUUGGUCUUAUACUGCAGCUGGAGGGGAAGUUUCUUCAACACUGCUGCUGUAAAUUGCUGAGAGCUGUAGUGGUAUUUGUCACAAUUAAAAAGGGUCAGGAGAACUUUUGUGAUCAAAGUUGUCAUUGUCUGGGGAGUGCCAUCUGGCUUUAAAAGACACAAGUUACAAACAUAUCCAUGUUUGAUUUCAUCUGGUUUGAAGGAUUGUUGACAACAGGGACACUUGCUUGAAGGAUCCAAUUUCUUGUUUCUGCAUUUUGGAUUGGGGCAGCUGUCAUAUAUUAUGAUGUUUUGAAUACCAACAAUUGUUCCACUCGAGAAUUCUUCUUCAUCUUUGUACAAUAUGGAGAUCAGCAGUUGUUGAGUUCUAUUAAUUAAAAUGGGAGACUUGCAUUUUUCCCGUUGUGUCCCUCACAUGGAUUUUUUUGAGUGUUAAGGUGUUGUUUUUCACCUUGCAAGGUGGCUCUACCUAAAGAUGAAGGAAGAAGGGAUACCUCUGCAAAUGAAGUUACUGGAAGUUCUUCUUGUUGUAGAACGGCUUGUUGGAGAAUAUCUUCUUUAAUGGCAAAGUUUGGAAUGAUGAAGACAACAGACUUGUUAUUUACGAUGAGUGUUGCUUUUCCAUCUCUCUCUGAUAUAAUGUAGUUAGAAAUCAUCAGGCAGUUUUGUUAUGAAAAGUACUGUUUUGCCAAUAUUUCACUGUAAAUAGUGCAUUCCAUCAUGCACGUGUUGUCUGACAGGAGUGUUGACAGUGGCAACAUAUUUUGAUGUUUCAGUUGUAUCUUGAAAGAUUGGUUUGUCUUUGGUUUGUGUUCCCUCUUUUUUAGUCAAAAAAGCAGAUAAUUCUUGGAAAGUUGUCAUCUUCAAAAUGAAAUGUAAAAGAAAAUUAGUUAAUUAUUAAUCUGUAAGGUUAGUCUUAUAUCCUUUUCAAUAUGAAAUACUUCAUAUAGCUGAGUUGACAAUGACUGUGCAACAUAAGUGUUUCAAAAUGAUAUGUAGCAAUAUGAAAAAGUAUGAUGACUGGUGGCAGUUAAAUAACUUUUAGUUGAUGAAAGUUUGCGAUGCUUUAGUGCAAAGAAUGCAGAAGUCACAGGUUUACGUUACUAUUUUUUUUCCUUUCUUUAUUUGUUCUGAAAUAGAGUUAGGUUCCCUCAGGGAGUGGUAAAUUACUACUAGCUAUGGUUCUUAUCAUUAUUGUUUUGUACACUUUUAUACUUGAUCUUUUUGAAGUAGCUGUAUGUAUAUAAAUAAUGUAUUUGACAUGGUUUGGGAAGACUGUCUAUGGUGAUGAUAGUGAUGAAAUAAAACUAAUGUAAUUCAUCACA